rnacentral:rRNA from 1 species
CCUACGGGAGGCAGCAGUAGGGAAUAUUGCUCAAUGGGGGAAACCCUGAAGCAGCAACGCCGCGUGGAGGAUGACACUUUUCGGAGCGUAAACUCCUUUUCUUAGGAAAGAAUUAUGACGGUACCUAAGGAAUAAGCACCGGCUAACUCCGUGCCAGCAGCCGCGGUAAUACGGGGGGUGCAAGCGUUACUCGGAAUCACUGGGCGUAAAGGACGCGUAGGCGGAUUAUCAAGUCUCUUGUGAAAUUUAACGGCUUAACCGUUAAACUGCUUGGGAAACUGAUAAUCUAGAGUAAGGGAGAGGCAGAUGGAAUUCUUGGUGUAGGGGUAAAAUCCGUAGAGAUCAAGAAGAAUACUUAUUGCGAAGGCGAUCUGCUAGAACUUAACUGACGCUAAUGCGUGAAAGCGUGGGGAGCAAACAGGAUUAGAUACCCCUGUAGUC